rnacentral:piRNA from 1 species
UAUUUCUGAAUACUGAAGAGCAGCUGC